UCCCCCUAGGGGGAGCCUAAGGGAGUCGCUUUCCCGCUGGUUGCCCGGAUCGUUUGCUCGUGGAGACGCGGCCCCUAGCCGACAUACUAGGAGCCCGUCAGAUUGAUUGCCGUGCGCGGGCGAUCACGUUCGCCAGAACGUUUUACCCAUUGCAGUGCCAGCGUGGACGCGCAAGUGCGUCCCCAGGCUUUUGGUCGGAACUGUUGUCUAAAUUUCGCGCCGCGCGAGUAGGGGCCUUCGGGUACCCGCUUGUGGCAGGCAAGAGAUCCUAGAAAUCAACUCCCGGACCCUAUGACUACUAGUACUCACGUUUCCUCGGCAGGUCCGCCUGCCAACGGGGACCCUACAAAUUCUUUUUUGCAGUGGUAGUGUUUGUCUGAAAAUAAACAAAUCUUAUUAAAACUUUCAACAACGGAUCUCUUGGUUCUGGCAUCGAUGAAGAACGCAGCGAAAUGCGAUAAGUAGUGUGAAUUGCAGAAUUCAGUGAAUCAUCGAAUCUUUGAACGCACAUUGCGCCCUUUGGUAUUCCAUAGGGCAUGCCUGUUCGAGCGUCGUUUCAAACCUUCAAGCCUAGCUUGGUGUUGGGUGACUGUCCCGCGUGCCCGCGCGGACUCGCCUCAAAAUCAUUGGCAGCGAACAUCGUAGCUAAUUGCGCAGCACAACGCGCCUGAAGCUCUCUGUUUGGCUAUCCACGAGCAAAGUCUCACCAGUUUGGACCUCGGAUCAGGAGGGUACCCGGAUA
rnacentral:rRNA from 1 species